rnacentral:misc_RNA from 1 species
GAUGAAGAACGCAGCGAAAUGCGAUAAGUAAUGUGAAUUGCAGAAUUCAGUGAAUCAUCGAAUCUUUGAACGCACAUUGCGCCCGCCAGUAUUCUGGCGGGCAUGCCUGUUCGAGCGUCAUUUCAACCAUCAAGCCCCCGGGCCUGUGUUGGGGACCUGCGGCUGCCCGCAGGCCCCGAAAACCAGUGGCGGGCUCGCUGUCACCCCGAGCGUAGUAGCAACACCUCGCCCAGGGAGUGCCGCGGGCACCGGCCGUAAAACCUCCUCUCGCCCCCCCCCGCGGGAGGGAACACCCCAAAGGUUGACCUCGGAUCAGGUAGGAAGACCCGCUGAACUUAAGCAUAUCAAAAGCGGAGGA